GGUAAUAUGAUAGGUGAGAAACUAUUUAAUGAAAAUAUGAGCAUACGUUGUAUAGAUAUUAGUUACUUUAUUUGUACUUAUUGGUAAGUAUAUUGAUGAAGGAUGAAGUUGGUCAAUGAUUUUCAGUGAUUUAAACGCUCUAAAAUGUGGUACUGUGUUUCAGUGCUAGGAGGUCUAAUUAGAAGCUUCCAGGUGUAAAUAAUGUUUAUAAAAAUUAAAAUACUAUAUUUCUGAGUGAGCAAAUCUUUGCUGCUUAGAUA